AGCGAACGCUGGCGGCAGGCCUAACACAUGCAAGUCGAACGAAGUCUUCGGACUUAGUGGCGGACGGGUGAGUAACACGUGGGAACGUACCUUUUGGUUCGGAACAACUCAGGGAAACUUGAGCUAAUACCGGAUGAGCCCUUAGGGGGAAAGAUUUAUCGCCGAAAGAGCGGCCCGCGUUAGAUUAGCUAGUUGGUGAGGUAAAGGCUCACCGAGGCUACGAUCUAUAGCUGGUCUGAGAGGAUGAUCAGCCACACUGGGACUGAGACACGGCCCAGACUCCUACGGGAGGCAGCAGUGGGGAAUCUUGCGCAAUGGGCGAAAGCCUGACGCAGCCAUGCCGCGUGAAUGAUGAAGGUCUUAGGAUUGUAAAAUUCUUUUACCAGGGACGAUAAUGACGGUACCUGGAGAAAAAGCCCCGGCUAACUACGUGCCAGCCGCCGCGGUAACAC
rnacentral:rRNA from 1 species